UAGGGUCAUAUAGGGCUCUAUUAGAUCUAUGGGGCUCUAUGGGUUCCUGUGGGGGUCUAUGGGGUUCUAUGGGGCUCUGUUGGGGUCUAUUGGGAUCUGUUGGGGUUUAUGGGGCUCUAUGGGGGUUUAUUGGGGUCUAUGGGGCUCUAUGGGGGUCUAUUGGGGUCUAUGGGGCUCUAUGGGGGUCAAUCUAUGGGGCUCUAUGGGGCUCUAUUGGGGUCUAUGGGGCUCUAUGGGGGUCAAUGGGGCUCUAUGGGGCUCUGUUGGGGUCUAUGGGGGUCAAUGGGGCUCUAUGGGGGUCUAUUGGGGUCUAUGGGUCUCCAUGGGGUCUCAAUGGGUCUCUAUGGGGCUCUAUUGGAUCUAUGGGGCCCUAUGGGGCUCUAUGGGGUCCUGUGGGGGUCUACGGGGUCAUAUGGGUCCCUAUGGGGUUCUAUUGGGGUCUAUGGGGCUCUAUGGGGGUCUGUUGGGGUCUAUGGGGCUCUAUGGGGCUCUUGGGGUCCUGUGGGGGUCUAUGGGGUCCUAUGGGGCUCUAUGGGGGUUUAUUGGGGUCUAUGGGGCUCUAUGGGGGUCUAUUGGGGUCUAUGGGGCUCUAUGGGGUCCUAUGGGGGUCUAUGGGGCUCUAUGGGGUCUCUAUGGGUCUCUAUGGGGCUCUAUUAGAUCUAUGGGGUCCUAUGGGGCUCUAUGGGGUCCUGUGGGGGUCUACGGGGUCAUAUGGGUCCCUAUGGGGUUCUAUGGGGCUCUAUGGGGUCCUAUGGGGCCCUAUGGGGCUCUAUGGUGCCCUAUGGGGCCCUAUGGGGCACAGACACAUAACCCUGCCCCCCUUUUAUAUCCCCCCCCCCCAGGUUCUCCAUAGGGUCCCAGCGUUGGACUCAGGUGUUGGCUGGGGGUCCUAUGGGGAGCCCGGGACCCCCAAGUCGGGCCUUCCACGCGGCCGCCAUGUUUCCCCCCAGCGGCCCCAUGGUGAUCCAUGGGGGGCUCAGGGUGGGGGGCGGCGUGGGGGGGGACGCGUGGGAGCUGCAGCUCCAUAGUCUGCAAUGGAGGCAGCACCGGGUGAGUGGGGGGAGAU
rnacentral:lncRNA from 1 species